rnacentral:rRNA from 1 species
UACAGGGGGUGCAAACGUUGCUCGGAAUCAUUGGGCGUAAAGCGCACGCAGGCGGUCUGCUAAGUUUGGAGUGACAGUUGGUGGCUUAACUGCCAAAGUGCUUCGAAAACUGACAGACUUGAGGGCUUCAGAGGGACACGGAAUUCCGGGUGGAGUGGUGAAAUGCGUAGAGAUCCGGAGGAACACCAAAGGCGAAGGCAGUGUCCUGGGGAGUGCCUGACGCUCAGGUGCGAAAGCCAGGGGAGCGAACGGG